rnacentral:ncRNA from 1 species
AUGUCAAAUACAAGGUGAAGUUUGGUGAAAAUCCAACACUGUCGCGCAACGGUAAAGUCCGAUCCCUUGUAACGC